UAGAGUUUGAUCCUGGCUCAGAACUAACGCUGGUAGCGUGCAUUAGGCAUGCAGUCGGACGGGGUCGCCUGGUUAGCUCUCAUCGGCCGUGACAGUGGCGGACUGGGUGCGAGCUUGCGAUCUACUUGCCCGCAUGACAGGUAAAACCGUUCGAAAUACCAGCUAAUAUCCGGAUGCGGGCGCCGCAUGGGAAAUCCCGUGGCGCCGCCAAAAGGGGGCCGAAAGGCUCUCCCGCCCGCCGGAAAAGACCUCCCGCCCCCAUCUACUUGGUUGGGCGGGGGAACCGGCGCCCCCCAAGGUCUCCGGGUAACUUGGUCCUAAAAAGAAGAACAAACCCCCCCUGGGGAAUGAGAAAACUGCCCCCAACAUCCUCCGGGAGGGGGGGCGGCCCAAGGAAAAACUUCCAUUGGGCGGAAAAACCCGCCAAUGGGAACCCUUCCUGGGAAGAAAAAAAGAGCCUUCUGGGUUUUAAAAAUCCCCGCCAUGGGGGGAAAACAGGGAGGAAAACCCACAACGUAUCCCAACUGAAGGUACCCCCCCCAAGGAAAGGAAAGGGCUAAUCUUUGGCCUCCAACCCCCGGGAAUAACAAAAGAUCCCCACCCUUUGUUUGUGUUUUACUGGGGGUUAAAAGCCGCUAGCCUCGCGGCAAAAUAAAGUGGAAUAAUUUCGGCUCACCCACUAACAGUGCUUUUAAAUAGUCCCGCUCCGUGUGCGAAGAGAAACGCAAAAUACAAGGUGUUAGCGCGGCAAGACGUGAAAU
rnacentral:rRNA from 1 species